GACGAACGCUGGCGGCGUGCUUAACACAUGCAAGUCGAACGGAAAGGCCCUGCUUUUGUGGGGUGCUCGAGUGGCGAACGGGUGAGUAACACGUGAGUAACCUGCCCUUGACUUUGGGAUAACUUCAGGAAACUGGGGCUAAUACCGGAUAGGAGCUCCUGCUGCAUGGUGGGGGUUGGAAAGUUUCGGCGGUUGGGGAUGGACUCCCGCCUUAUCCGCUUGUUGGUGGGGUAGUGGCUUACCAAGGCUUUGACGGGUAGCCGGCCUGAGAGGGUGACCGGCCACAUUGGGACUGAGAUACGGCCCAGACUCCUACGGGAGGCAGCAGUGGGGAAUAUUGCACAAUGGGCGGAAGCCUGAUGCAGCAACGCCGCGUGCGGGAUGACGGCCUUCGGGUUGUAAACCGCUUUCGCCUGUGACGAAGCGUGAGUGACGGUAAUGGGUAAAGAAGCACCGGCUAACUACGUGCCAGCAGCCGCGGUGAUACGUAGGGUGCGAGCGUUGUCCGGAUUUAUUGGGCGUAAAGGGCUCGUAGGUGGUUGAUCGCGUCGGAAGUGUAAUCUUGGGGCUUAACCCUGAGCGUGCUUUCGAUACGGGUUGACUUGAGGAAGGUAGGGGAGAAUGGAAUUCCUGGUGGAGCGGUGGAAUGCGCAGAUAUCAGGAGGAACACCAGUGGCGAAGGCGGUUCUCUGGGCCUUUCCUGACGCUGAGGAGCGGAAGCGUGGGGAGCGAACAGGCUUACAUACCCUGGUAGUCCGCGCUGUAAACGGU
rnacentral:rRNA from 1 species